CACGUAAGGGGCAAGCGUUGUUCGGAAUUAUUGGGCGUAAAGGGUGCGUAGGCGGUCCUGUAAGCCCGGCGUGAAAUACUGGAGCUCAACUCCAGAACGGCGCUGGGAACUGCAAGACUUGAGUCAUGGAAGGGAAGUUAGAAUUCCAGGUGUAGGGGUGAAAUCUGUAGAUAUCUGGAAGAAUACCGGUGGCGAAGGCGAACUUCUGGCCAAUGACUGACGCUGAGGCACGAAAGCGUGGGGAGCAAACAGG
rnacentral:rRNA from 1 species